UAGUCCGACUUUGUGAAAUGACUUGAGAGGUGUAGAAUAAGUGGGAGCUCCGGUGCAAGUGAAAUACCACUACUUUUAACGUUAUUUUACUUACUCCGUGAAUCGGAGGCGGGGUAACAACCUGAAGAACCCUAGGAAACGCUACUCAACCGGUAAGGGGGAUAUGAACUCCGAAAGGAGAACUGGUGGGAUGAA
rnacentral:ncRNA from 2 species